rnacentral:rRNA from 1 species
UACGUAGGGUGCAAGCGUUGUCCGGAAUUAUUGGGCGUAAAGAGCUCGUAGGCGGUUUGUCGCGUCUGCUGUGAAAACUCAGGGCUUAACUCUGAGCUUGCAGUGGGUACGGGCAGACUAGAGUGCGGUAGGGGAGACUGGAAUUCCUGGUGUAGCGGUGAAAUGCGCAGAUAUCAGGAGGAACACCGGUGGCGAAGGCGGGUCUCUGGGCCGUAACUGACGCU